UGAGGUAGCACAGUGGGUCAGUGUUUCUAGCUGUUAACCAGAAUGUUGGUGGUUCGAGGCCACCCAGGAAAA